UACGAAGGGGGCUAGCGUUGUUCGGAAUCACUGGGCGUAAAGCGCACGUAGGCGGAUCUUUAAGUCAGGGGUGAAAUCCCGAGGCUCAACCUCGGAACUGCCUUUGAUACUGGGGAUCUCGAGUCCGGGAGAGGUGAGUGGAACUGCGAGUGUAGAGGUGAAAUUCGUAGAUAUUCGCAAGAACACCAGUGGCGAAGGCGGCUCACUGGCCCGGAACUGACGCUGAGGUGCGAAAGCGUGGGGAGCGAACGAGG
rnacentral:rRNA from 1 species